rnacentral:rRNA from 1 species
CGCACGGGUGAGUAACACGUGGAUUAUCUACCUUUUAGUGGGGAAUACCUCUGGGAAACCGGAGACAAUACCGCAUAAGCCUGUAAAGGGAAAGCAGCAAUGCGCUGGAAGAGGAGUCCGCGGCUGAUUAGCUAGUUGGUGAGGUAAUGGCUCACCAAGGCUUAGAUCAGUAGCCGGCCUGAGAGGGCACACGGCCACACUGGCACUGAAACACGGGCCAG